CGGGGCCCCGCCGCGCUCUGAUUGGACAGCGGCGGCGGCGUGGCCGCGUAGGGUGACCGGAUUCCUGUGCCCCGGAGGCGGUGGCGGGGCCCCUGCGCGGCUCGGCGGUGGGGAGGGAGACCAUGCGGAAAGUGGUGGUGGUCACCGGGGCCAGCAGUGGCGUUGGCCUGGCGCUCUGCAAGCGGCUGCUGGAGGAAGACGAUGAGCUGCACGUGUGCUUGGCGUGCAGGAACGUGGGCAAAGCGGAGGCUGUCCGCGCCGCGCUGCUGGCCGCUCACCCGGCCGCCGAGGUCAGCGUCGUGCAGGUGGAUGUCAGCAACCUCCAGUCAGUCAUCCGGGCCGCCAGGGAGCUCAAGCAAAGGUUUCAGAGAUUAGACUAUGUCUAUCUGAAUGCUGGGAUCAUGCCCAAUCCACAGCUGAAUAUCAAAGCACUUUUCUCUGGCCUCUUUUCAAGAAAAGUGAUUCAUAUGUUCUCCACAGCUGAGGGACUGCUGACCCAGGAAGAUAAAGUCACUGCCGAUGGGCUCCAGGAGGUGUUUGAAACCAACGUCUUUGGCCACUUUAUUCUGAUUCAGGAACUGGAAGCUCUCCUCUGUCACAGCGACAGUCCUUCCCGGCUUAUCUGGACAUCAUCUCGCAAUGCAAGGAAAUCUAAUUUCCACCUUGAGGACAUCCAGCACAGCAGAGGCCAGGAGCCCUACAGCUCCUCCAAAUACGCAAUUGACCUACUGAGCGUGGCGCUGAACCGGAACUUCAACCCACGGGGUCUGUAUUCCAGCGUGGUGUGCCCAGGCACAAUGGUGACCAGUAUGACCUGUGGAAUUCUCCCUCCCUGUGUGUGGACAGUAUUGCUGCCCAUCAUAUGGCUGGUAAGCGAUGAACACUUCAGCUCUUCGACCUGGGACCAAAAAGCUUCGCUUUUUUGCAAAUGCUUUCACUGUGACGCCGCACAACGGAACGGAAGCCCUGGUAUGGCUUUUCCACCAAAAGCCCGAGUCUCUUAAUCCUCUGACCAAAUAUCUGAGUGCCACCACUGGCUUUGGAAGCAAUUACGUAACAACCCAGAAGAUGGACCUAGAUGAAGACACUGCUGAAAAAUUUUACCAAAACUUACUGGAACUGGAAAAGCGUAUUAGGGACACCAUUCAAAAAACAAAUCAUCAGAGCUGACGGUGGCACUCUCUGAAACAUCGCAUAUCUACUGUGCUUUCUGGGUUUCUGUUGAGUUGGGUGAUGUGCCUGUGUGGUAAACAGUGAGCUAGAAUUGUCUCUUCCCUCCUUUCAGGAUUAUCUCUAAGACUGUAUGCGUGCAUGUGAGAAAAAGAUCGAUAAGUAAAAUACGAGUUAGCUGUUCUCCAAAAUGGUGUCACAUCAAAAUUGUGCUCGAGUCACCCAACCAAGGAUGUGUUUAUUGGUUUUGCCGACUGGAGCCCAGGCUCCACGUGGUGGGAUGAGGUGUGGACUCGAGUACUCAUGACUCAGGCACUCACCGGCCCUGCUUUUGGCCUGCCCGAGCAGGAGGAAGUUCUGGGCACCCUCUGAGUGAUAAUCUGAGCUUUGUUCCUUUUCUUAUGGACGGUUUUCUAGGUCUUGUACCUUAUUUCUUCCUCCUCAUGGUGCUUCUAAAAAUCCCGAGAUUGUGGGGCGUCUCAUGGCUCAGUCAGUUAGGCAUCCGACUCUUGAUUUCACCUCAGGUCAUGGUCUCAGGGGCGAGAGAUUGAGCCCCGAGUUGGGCUCCAUGCUCCGCAUGGGGUCUGCUUGGGAUUCUCUCUCUCCCUCUCCCUCUGCCCCUCCCCCCGCUCACGUGCGUACACGCGCUCUCACUCUCAGAUAAAGAAAAUCUUUAAAAAUCCCGAGAUUGUUAGAAUCCUAACAGUCCUAAUACAGAUACCCAUGUAGUUAAUCGCAGAAACAAAAUUAUAUAUGUGUUUGGGCACUUGAAUUAUUUCUUCCUUUGGAAGUGUCUUUCAUUGAUGUCAAGGUGGUCUGCGUUAAUGUUGGGCCUGACCUUUAACACCGUUUGCAAAUUUGUUCAUUGCCGACCAGCCUCUUUUUCAUGAUUAUAUUUUAAUGUAUGCAGACGUGCAGCAAAAACUUAUUUAUUCACGUUGUUUCAAAAAAAUUUUCCAACUGAAUAAUUGCAGGUUGGGUGUCUGCUGGUAUGUGGUUGGAAGUGGUUCGCAUAUAAAGACAAAAAUGCUAAAAUGCCUAGAUGUUUUUACCCUACAUAUAACCACUGUACCUGGAAUAUAAUAAAGUGAGCAAAAUUUUGGAUGACUUAAUAAAAGUGAAAAAUUGUAUAGAAAUAUAGUUUCUGUAUAUUCUAAGUAUGAAUUUUUUGGUUAUAGUUCCCCUCAUUUUGCUGGUAAAGAUAUUUUUAAUAAAGUUAAGCCUCUGUAUGUGAAAACGAGGGCUAAAUGCUUCUGCACGCUCCCCGCUGUCUUUGAGAAGGGUGAGGUUGGAGAGCUGAGAGCAGCGCUGGGUUGUGCUCUUGUGAUCACUCACACUGCAAGUGUGCGAGAAGCACUUCAUUGUGAAUCUCAGGUUCCUCAUCUGUAAAGUGGAGUCAUG